rnacentral:miRNA from 1 species
GGUCAGCUGACACAUCCUGGCCAAUUUCCAGCAGACCCUCCCUCCCAGACCCUCCUACUUCCUGGACAGCAUCCAUGUUGAAGGCAGCUUCAACAUGGAUGCUGUCCAGGAGGUGGGAGGGUCUGGGAGGGAGGGUCUGCCGGAGAUUGGCAGGGAUGUGUCAGCUG